UACGGAGGGUGCAAGCGUUAGUCGGAAUUACUGGGCGUAAAGGGUACGUAGGCGGGGACAAACGUCAGAUGUGAAAUUCCGGGGCUCAACCCCGGCGCUGCAUCUGAAACGGUGUCUCUUGAGGACUGGCGGAGAGAAUGGAAUUCCAUGUGUAGCGGUGAAAUGCGUAGAUAUAUGGAAGAACACCUGUAGCGAAAGCGAUUCUCUAGCUUAAUCCUGGCGCUGAGGUACGAGAGCAAGGGGAGCAAACAGG
rnacentral:rRNA from 1 species